AUUCAGUAGUCGACAUGUCGUUUUACGUGUUCCACAUCGAUUGGGCCUCGCGCUCAAAACCCUAGCUUCUUGUUAGAAAUCCCUCCACUUAAAUAUCGGCGCCCAAAACUUCCAUUUAAAACCCCAACAAAUCCCUGUUUCUCCCUCCCUCCCUCUCUCUCUCUAUUUUGGCUCUUUCAAGGUGCUGUUCUACGAAAAUGCCGCUUGGAGAUCGAUUGGCGACAAGAUCGAGUCUCUGUUUUGUGACGUGGCGACUGAGUUCGAUGACGGUGUGCCUCUGCUCCAUUUGACUUAGUCGUCACUCCUUUGGCAAAAUUAGUUCUUGGAUUGACUUAGAUUCUGAAGAUGAGGUUGUUUGUACAAAUUGAUUCUGAGAGAGCUCCGAAGCAAGAGAUUGCAUGGGCUUCCCAUCUCUCUCUGCAGGCAUGUCUUUUUGCAGCUCCUAAGGGAACAUCAUAUGCUCUAAUUAUGCUAGGUGUGUUCGGGCCUUAAUAAUAUGCAGGAUACUUCUUGUGGAGGUUGAUGAUGAUUCUACAGAUGUGAAGUCUGAUCACUUGGUUGAUUCUUUGGAUUUGUGGAACGCAUUUCGUCUGUCUUUGCGAGCGCCUCUGUGAGUUAUCAAUUGUACUUGCAUUUUGAGUACGUUGCCUUCACCAAAUGCGGCUUGGACGGGGGAGUCUUGUCAAAGCGGCCAUAUUUAGUACCGAUGUAAAUAUAUAUUGGUUAUUUUUCUCAAGAUCAAACAGAUAUUUGAGGUUGAUUACCGGGUUUUUUAAAGGCACUUGGACUAUUGUCGAAGCGGCACCAGAAGUUGAUUACUGGAUUUUUCAACCAUCGCUCCAUUCAGGUAGUUUUAUCUGGUAAAUCAUUUCCCUACGUUUCAAGGGGAUGUUGUGCAGAUUCGCUAACCGGCCCCUGUAAAGAGCAGAAAAGAAUCUUAAGAGUAGAUUUCUCAUGAAUAUAAUUCCAUUUUAUUGUAAUCUAUUUUUAGCAACCCUUUCUCAUACUUUGUUUCCCUUCCCUCAUCCUUCAUUACGUUUUUAAAAAAUCAAUGGCAUAGAUGUUUAAAAAUUUUUAUAACUAGAAAAAUGAAUUAUAAUGUUAGCCACAAUUUUUAUAUAACAUUUUUCUUGUUCGUCGACAAUGUUUUCUAUCCUGUUAUUAAAAUAGAAUUUAAGGCACUGAAAUAGUUAU